UGAGUCACUGAGUUGAAUUAGGUUGUGAAAGAGCAGUUUGCAUUCAAGAUCCCCAGUCCCAGUGACUUCAGAAAUCUAAAUGGAGACUGUUACCCGGCAAUUGAAAUAAUAAUGAUGACAGCUCAUAUUUCUUGAGUCUUUACCGUGUGCAGACACUACGACACCGUCUGGGAGUGCUGAGAUGCUGUAUGGGAAGGUCAACUCUACUGACCCCUAUGCUGGAGUGAGGCCAUGGGUAACCACCAAGUACCGCAGCCCCAGAAGAACAUAGGUUUCCAGUCAGUCCCCGGAGGGGCUGAACUCAUGAGUGAGGUCACCUAGAAUGCUCCAGAUGAGCCCGCUGAGACCCAGCUACCAUCACUCUGUGGACAGAAGACUCACUCUGCUGGACCCAGUCCAAAUCUUCAACUCAAAACUUAUGAGAUACGAUUGAUGACCACCUUCAGUUGCCUAAAAACUCCAAAUCAGAGCAAUAGGUUUGCUGAGACCUGAACUCGCAUUUUGCUCUGAGACACUGUGGGGGCAAGUGAGCUGACGUGCAUAAGGAGCUGAUUGCUGGGUUGACCACACGGCAAACACAAAGCAAGUCCAGCUGUUACUCAGAGCUUGAUCACUUGAUUUCAUUCUGCACAUCCCUGCUUGAACCAAUCAUCAGUUAAGUAUUUAACACGGCAAAUACUGUAUAGCCGCUGUU